GCACCUUCUACGAUCGGUGGCGAGCAGAGCAGUACGUCAAGCGGAAAAAACAUCUGCUCUCACGUUUCACAAUUCGCAAACCGUCGGUCGAGAAGGUGGGCAGCUAUAUUGCUAAGGAAGGCUGGCUAACCAACUGCCCCACUCCAGAUGAGAUUGCAAGAAUGUGGAAGCCAGCCUCCAGAGAAGCUGUGGAGGACAACAAAAUCAUCCUCAGAAGUGUUAUGACCCAGAGGUGGAAUGGCGUUGUGAUCAAAAACUUCAAUAAAGAAAAAGGGUUUGGAGUGGUUGCCAACAAGACUUUUUCCAAAGGGGACAUCAUUUGCGACUACCAUGGCGAAGUAGUCCCAGCUGCCGAAGGAAACCAGCGAAUGAAAGCGAUAACAGACGGAGCUGUUUACUUAUUUUUCUUUAAGGCUGGGGCGAGGCAACUCUGCAUUGAUGCACAAAGCUUUCCGUGCAAGUGCCAUCCGGAUAUGCAGACGGUUGGCCGAAUGCUAAACCAUUCCCGGAAAAAACCUAACCUGAAGCCACUGCACUGUGUGUUAAAAAUAAAUGAAACACCCACUGAUGUCAUUCUAUUCAAAGCCAUGCAUGACAUCAGAGUGGAUGAGGAGUUGAAAUUUGACUAUGGGGUGAACAGAAAGUCUUUUAGAGGGGAGGGGCUGGAUCUGGACUGGUUAGAUGACUAACCUGAAAUGUUUAAAGGACUUUCUGCAAGCAAGUUAACUGAUCCAGGGGUGGGGACCAGUAUUUUUAUUUUUAUUUAUUUUUUUAAAUAUGUUUUUUUAUAUUUGUAAAUAGUUCCUGAUUGUUUUGUGUUCAUAGGGCAAUAAAUGUUUCUUAAACCUAACUCUUUCUGAUUCUGAAUCUUCUGACUCUGUGGCUGUGUGCCCCCUGAUGUUGUGGAGCAGCUUGGAGUUAUUUGCUCCUAAGAUGUAUUACAGUCUCCUCUCUCCAGCUCUGCACAUUUUUUUAUUCAAGUCCCCACAUUGUUUAGUCAAAUAAAACGUUCAGCUGCAUUUCGUUUUUUAAUGGCAUGUUUGGUGUUUUUAAAAAUGCCUGGUCACCACUGUUAAUACACAAUAUAAGUAGAGUCGAUCAAAAGUGAUUUUAAACGAAUACAGCAUAGACUUUAGUUCUCUGCCAUGACGUGCUAAUGAGGCUCCCGUCUAGAGACGCAGCAGGGUCCCUUCCCCUGCAGUCAGUGGGGGAGGGGGAUUUGGCUGCAUGAGCGACACUCUGUUAGUCUCUGUGGGUUGUGUCUUCCAUAAAAUAGGUAUGAUUGAAGAUAUUAGGACCUUCUUCAAAUAUGAAGAGCUCUUGGUGGAUUUUAAAACAACCUGUAGGAUGACUUUAAUGUGACCAGCUGUAAGAUGGAGCGGCUCCGCGGCGUGGUUCUCCCACACCGCUUUCGGACAUCUUUCUCUCCAACGUGCGCCCACUGAGCAACAAACUGGACCAACUUCAUCUGCUGGGGACGAGAGACAGACACUUUUAUACAU